GUAUGUCUAGUAUAAGCAAUUAUACCGCGAAACUGCGAAUGGCUCAUUAAAUCAGUUAUCGUUUAUUUGAUAGUACCUUACUACAUGGAUACCUGUGGUAAUUCUAGAGCUAAUACAUGCUAAAAACCCCGACUUCGGGAGGGGUGUAUUUAUUAGAUAAAAAACCAAUGCCCUUCGGGGCUCCUUGGUGAUUCAUAAUAACUUCUCAGAUCGCACGGCCUUGAGCCGGCGACGGUUCAUUCAAAUUUCUGCCCUAUCAACUUUCGAUGGUAAGGUAUUGGCUUACCAUGGUUUCUACGGGUAACGGGGAAUUAGGGUUCGAUUCCGGAGAGUUAGCCUGAGAAACGGCUAACACAUCCAAGGAAGGCAGCAGGCGCGCAAAUUACCCAAUCCUGAUACAGGGAGGUAGUGACAAUAAAUACUGGUACAGGGCUCUUUUGGGUCUUGUAACUGGAAUGAGUACAAUUUAAACCUCUUAACGAGGAACAAUUGGAGGGCAAGUCUGGUGCCAGCAGCCGCGGUAAUUCCAGCUCCAAUAGCGUAUAUUAAAGUUGUUGCAGUUAAAAAGCUCGUAGUUGAACCUUUGGCCUGGCUGGCAGGUCCGCCUCACCGCGUGCACUUGUCCGGCCGGGCCUUCUCUUCUGGAGAACCGCAUGCCCUUCACUGGGUGUGUUGGGGACCAGGACUUUUACUUUGAAAAAAUUAGAGUGUUCAAAGCAGGCCUUUGCUCGAAUAUUACAGCAUGGAAUAAUGGAAUAGGACGUGCGGUUCUAUUUUGUUGGUUUCUAGGACCGCCGUAAUGAUUAAUAGGGACAGUCGGGGGCAUCAGUAUUCAAUUGUCAGAGGUGAAAUUCUUGGAUUUAUUGAAGACUAACUACUGCGAAAGCAUUUGCCAAGGAUGUUUUCAUUAAUCAGUGAACGAAAGUUAGGGGAUCGAAGACGAUCAGAUACCGUCGUAGUCUUAACCAUAAACUAUGCCGACUAGGGAUCGGGCGGUGUUAUUAUUUUGACUCGCUCGGCACCUUACGAGAAAUCAAAGUGUUUGGGUCUGGGGGAGAA
rnacentral:rRNA from 1 species